rnacentral:rRNA from 1 species
AGGACGAACGCUGGCGGCGUGCUUAACACAUGCAAGUCGAACGGAAAGGCCUCUUCGGAGGUACUCGAGUGGCGAACGGGUGAGUAACACGUGGGUAAUCUGCCCUGCACUUCGGGAUAAGCCUGGGAAACUGGGUCUAAUACCGAAUAUGACCAUUUAGCGCAUGCUUUAUGGUGGAAAGCUUUUGCGGUGUGGGAUGGGCCCGCGGCCUAUCAGCUUGUUGGUGGGGUGACGGCCUACCAAGGCGACGACGGGUAGCCGGCCUGAGAGGGUGUCCGGCCACACUGGGACUGAGAUACGGCCCAGACUCCUACGGGAGGCAGCAGUGGGGAAUAUUGCACAAUGGGCGCAAGCCUGAUGCAGCGACGCCGCGUGGGGGAUGACGGCCUUCGGUUGUAACCUCUUUCAGCAGGGACGAAGCGCAGGUGACGGUACCUGCAGAAGAAGCACCGGCCAACUACGUGCCAGCAGCCGCGGU